CUUGGUCAGGAUGAACGCUAGCUACAGGCUUAACACAUGCAAGUCGAGGGGCAGCAGGACGAUAGCUUGCUAUUGUUGCUGGCGACCGGCGCACGGGUGAGUAACGCGUAUCCAACCUUCCCCUUAGUAGGGCAUAGCCCGUAGAAAUGCGGAUUAAUACCCUAUGUUGUUCGAUGCGGACAUCUAAGUUGAACCAAAGGUUUACCGCUAAGGGAUGGGGAUGCGUCUGAUUAGGCAGCAGGCGGGGUAACGGCCCACCUGGCCUACGAUCAGUAGGGGUUCUGAGAGGAAGGUCCCCCACAUUGGAACUGAGACACGGUCCAAACUCCUACGGGAGGCAGCAGUGAGGAAUAUUGGUCAAUGGGCGCGAGCCUGAACCAGCCAAGUAGCGUGCAAGGACGACGGCCCUAUGGGUUGUAAACUGCUUUUAUGCGGGGAUAAAGUGCGGCACGUGUGCCGUUUUGUAGGUACCGCAUGAAUAAGGACCGGCUAAUUCCGUGCCAGCAGCAGC
rnacentral:rRNA from 1 species